rnacentral:rRNA from 1 species
GACCCAAAAGAUUGUGAACUAUAUCCAGCCAAAGUCCGAGGAAACCCUGMUUGAGGGCUAUAGUAAUUUGGAUCUGUAAAUCGAUCGUUGGAGUUUUAUACUAAUAAAACUAUGUAGUUGCUGG